GACGAACGCUGGCGGCGUGCUUAACACAUGCAAGUCGAACGGAAAGGCCCUGCUUUUGUGGGGUGCUCGAUUGGCGAACGGGUGAGUAACACGUGAGUAACCUGCCCUUGACUUUGGGAUAACUUCAGGAAACUGGGGCUAAUACCGGAUAGGAGCUCCUGCUGCAUGGUGGGGGUUGGAAAGUUUCGGCGGUUGGGGAUGGACUCGCGGCUUAUCCGCUUGUUGGUGGGGUAGUGGCUUACCAAGGCUUUGACGGGUAGCCGGCCUGAGAGGGUGACCGGCCACAUUGGGACUGAGGUACGGACCAGACUGCUACGGGAGGCAACAGUGGAAAGUAUUGCGCAGUAAGGGGAAGCGUGAUACGACAGCGCCGCGAGCGGGAUGACGGCCUUCGGGUUAAGAACCGAUUUGGCCUGAAACGAGGCGUGAGUGACGGUAAUGGGUAAAGAAGCACCGGCUAACUACGUG
rnacentral:rRNA from 1 species